GAUGAACGCUGGCGGCGUGCCUAAUACAUGCAAGUCGAGCGGAUGGAUUAAGAGCUUGCUCUUAUGAGGUUAGCGGCGGACGGGUGAGUAACACGUGGGUAACCUGCCCAUAAGACUGGGAUAACUCCGGGAAACCGGGGCUAAUACCGGAUAACAUUUUGAACCGCAUGGUUCGAAAUUGAAAGGCGGCUUCGGCUGUCACUUAUGGGUGGACCCGCGUCGCAUUAGGCUAGUUGGUGAGGUAACGGCUCACCAAGGCAACGAUGCGUAGCCGCCCGGAGAGGGUGAUCGGCCACACUGGGACUGAGGAACGGCCCAGACUCCUACGGGAGGCAGAAGUAGGGAAUCUUCCGCAAUGGACGAAAGUGUGACGGAGCAACGCCGCGUGAGUGAUGAAGGCUUUCGGGUCGUAAAACUCUGUUGUUAGGGAAGAACAAGUGCUAGUUGAAUAAGCUGGCACCUUGACGGUACCUAACCAGAAAGCCACGGCUAACUACGUGCCAGCCGCCGCGGUAA
rnacentral:rRNA from 1 species